rnacentral:lncRNA from 1 species
CCACUGAGCCCCAAUCCCAGCCCCCCUACAGGGCCUGGUGACCGGGGAUAACUAUCCUGACAGAAAGGACAAGGUCUCUGCAUGAGGUAAGGCUACUUAGGAGAAGUCUAGUCGUAACUGACAAACUGUGUUUCCAUAAGGAGGGGAAGGAACAUUGCUGAUUCUGUCAUGAUGUGAUGGGCAGGGGAGAGAGGGGAGAAGGAAAAAUUAGUCAAGCUGGGAAUUCAGCCCUGCUAGUUGGGGCUGGGGUCUUCCCCAGCCUCAGAGAGCCACAGAAGUGCCGGACAAUCACCAGUCACUGUCCAGGUCUCAUCAGCCAUUUCACAUGAUUGUCACUAACUUUUGAGUCAUGGUUUUGAUCCUAUCUGAGCCCCCAGUUCUGUUACUGUUUGGGAUGCUGGGUUCGUUGUCUCUGUUCAGCAAGCAAUUGAAGAACUGGACACGGAGCCAGCCAGCAAGCAGCAGGUUAUUGUAAAAGGGACAGAGAGAGACUUUGAAGAGAAGGGGCUCCAGAGCUGGGAGUCUAGUGGGGGAAUUCUGGCCUCUUCUUUUUAUGGCUUUGGAAUUUCCUCCUUUCCUGUCUCCUUCCUGUCCACCUCACUCCCAUUCAUCGGUGUCCCCUGUGACCAUGCUACUAUCUUAGUGUUUUUAUUAGCACCCCUGCAUAGGGCACGAGUACGGAGGUGUCUGUCUGAUUGGGUCCCUGCUUGUGUCCGCGAGCACUUUCGCCCAGCUGGAGGUUGACCUCAUCAGAAGACCCUCUCCAUGCUCCUUUGUUCUGGCCUGGCCCCCCACUUCCUGGCUUGCUGUCCUGCCCUAGCCGCCUACGCCCUUCCCAUCCCCCUCAUUUCUAUGAGACUAGGUGGCUCGGGUCUUGACGGGAGUGGGGGUUACCCAGUGUAUACUUUUGCCAAUGCAUUCAGACCCCUAGGUUCCAGCCAAAUACUUCAUUACCUGCACAUCACUGUGUCUCAACCGUGCGUAGAGUAGAUGUUUAAAACAGGUGAUUUAACAUUGCAAAC